UUGAGCAGUCACUGUGGUUGUGAGAUGGUUUCUCCUUGAAGCUGAUGAGGGACAAAGCAAACCUCCAGCCAGCCACCUUCCUGAGAGCUUGGCAGUAGAGAGCCUGCAGCCAAGCUAGCCAGAACCAGGCCUUUGAGAAGUGUGGAACUCUUGCUUCCUUGCAUGAAACUGACCCCGGACACAAGUUAAUAACAACAAUCUCCUGUGGCCAGGAGCACCCAAUUCCAAUACUCUCUCCAACAGUUUCUAAGACUUCAAGCCUCUUUUGCAUCACACAGAGGGGGCAGUGACUGCAAUGCUGUGAGUUUACCCGGGAAUAGUACGUCAUUAAAUCUUUGACAGAGAGCUCUAAAUACUGUUUUUGAUUCAUGGUAGGCAGCAUACCAGGACAUGCCUAUUUUGAUCAUGAUGCAACGUGACCAGAAGAGAACUGCUGCUCACAAAUGUCCUUUUCUCAUGCAAGAGAAGCUCCUGAAGCAUCCAAAGAAGAGUCCAUGUGCCCAAGGGUAUUGUCCAAACACUUCUUGAACUCUGUCAGCCUUGGUGCAGUGACCAUUUCCCUGGGGAGCUGUUCCAGUGCCCAACCACCCUCUGGGUGAAGAACCUUUUUAUAAUAUCCAACCUAAACCUCCCCUGACACAAUUUCAGGCCAUUCUCUUGAGUCUUGUCACUGAGACCACAAAGCAGGGAUCAGUGUCUGCCCCUUCUCUUCCUCUCAUGAGGAAGCUGAAACUGUAAUGAGGUCCCCCCUCAGUGUCCUCUUCUCCAGCCUGGACAGAACAAGUGACCUCAGCUGCUCCUUGUAUGGUUUCCCCUCAAGCCCUACAUGGGGGUCUUUAUGUGCAUUUUCAUUUAUGUCAAAGUGAGGAAAAUGCUGUGAUGUGUUUUCCCUGCUGUCCAACAAGGUCCCCAGGGGCUGGUAGUCCAUCCAGCUUCACCUCUCCCAUGUUACAAGUGGAGUGCUACAGCUUUUGGGUGGUGUGCCGACUCUGCCUCUCCUCAAAGAGAAAAUACAAUUUAUUUAAAAUAUAUAUAACAUAUGUUUGAGGCCAUACUUGUUUAAUUUCUGGAACCAGAACUAGCCUUUUUAUUUUCAUUCUAGAAUUUGCCUACUGUCCCAAAGUAAUCAAGUCAGGAAUCAGAGGAUUUGGCUUCUCUGAGGACUGUGCCUGCCUCAAAUUCUACAGAAGCUGAAAACAGGCAGAUCUUCCAUCCUUGGCCAUGGUUCUGGACACCAAUUAUUUUUGCCCACAGUCACUGAAGUCAAUGGGUCUUCACACACUGGUGCAGAAGUCUCAGCUGGAGAGUGAUGAUGUAAGAUCAGAGCUUUUGUCUGCAAUUCAUGUGCCUAAGAGUGCUAAAGAAAUAAGUUAACAGUGAGAUUUUUAAUUGACAUAUCAAGGAAUUUGUAUUCCUUUGUCAUUAAUAUAUUGGGUAAAGUGAAUAUAUAUAUGUUGAGUAAAAAACCCUACAGGCUAUCAGUACCAAUAGUUAAUUUUAAAGACUUUUAAUGCAUGUUAAUGACAACAUCCCUCUAAGAUUAAGGUAUUCUGGUUUUACUGGCAGGGAAGCAGAGGUUAAGUAAGCCACACAGCAAGUCCUUGGAUUUAUAACUCCCAAAUCUGCCUUCUGCUCAGUCCAGCAGGUCAUGCUGACUAACUGUGGAAUGCAUGUUUCCAAAGAACUCUUAAGGGACAAGAGGAAUCAGAAGGAACAAAAGGUACAGAUAAAGUAAGCAUUAAUUCUAAAAAAAAAAUGUUUUCCACCAUUCAAAAAACACAAGUCAACUUCUGUUUAAGUUGUCAUACCUCACCAUUGCAUUAGCCAGGAACAGGAGCACUGGAAGAACACGAGGGAAAUUGUCCUGACAGCAUUUUUAACAAAGCUGAAAUAGACACAACAGCUUUAUGUCAUGAGAUUUCCAAUACAAACAAAAUCUGUGCCUAAGAUUUCAAAUAAAGUUUAUGGAAGUUCAUCCCAAUGUAGCUGCAAAGUUCAGAGAAGCCAGAACUGCUCCCUUCCAUGCAGAUCUUGGCAGCCAUGAGACUGUAGAAAACAAGCAGUGAUGCUGUUAUUUCAGCUUCUUAAAGACUAUUUCUAUGCUACUGCUCUCUAUUAUAUAAGUCUGCUCGUCAGAGUUGGACCAAUCUGUAUGUACUGGAAUACUAAUAAAAACAAAACCUGUUUUAAGCCAAUUAGGAAUUUAAAUAUUAAUUUACUCAUGUUAAAGAUUGAACAUUUACAGAAAACUAAGAAAAUUAAAUGGAACUGACCCUGCAAUUUCAAAGACCUUUUGUCAGACAUGAACCAAGACAAGUGUGAAAGGAAGUGCUGAUUAUGUGACAACACUAUAACCAGACCAUCUGGAAUCUGACUUUGGAGCAGGAAUAAAGAAUUCAUUUCCAUUCCAUCAAGAGUCUCCAUCCAUAAAAAGUUAAUUUCCUUUUACAGGUAAACAAAAGGGGCUUGCUCAACCUGACCCAGCUUACAGAGGUACACAGAGGUUCAGGUUGCAAACUGCCUUUUUCUCCCUCUACCCUUUUUUGACUGCACCUCAUUUAUUCUUGCACACCUUAUGACAUGGGACAAAUCCCAACCUGUUGCUGGCAGAUUAAAAUUAAGUAUCUGCAACAAUCUUUCUCACUAACUGAAAGAGAAGUAGGUACUUCGAGUCAAGUGACAAAGUAUCAACAAAAAAACCUCUCAGAGAUUAAAGAACUGAAUGGCCCUGUUUGAACUUGGCUUUGGUUAAAGUCAAGCAGCUGGAAAAGCUCCUGAUCCCAUAUUCACAUGUAAAAAAUAGAUGGAGAAAUUACAUAUUCUGAUACUUAAUUUA